UACGAAGGGGGCUAGCGUUGCUCGGCAUCACUGGGCGUAAAGCGCACGUAGGCGGAUCGCUAAGUCAGGGGUGAAAUCCUGGAGCUCAACUCCAGAACUGCCUUUGAUACUGGCAAUCUCGAGUCCGGGAGAGGUGAGUGGAACUGCGAGUGUAGAGGUGAAAUUCGUAGAUAUUCGCAAGAACACCAGUGGCGAAGGCGGCUCACUGGCCCGGUACUGACGCUGAGGUGCGAAAGCGUGGGGAGCAAACAGG
rnacentral:rRNA from 1 species